GCCGAGGUGGCGGAACUGGCAGACGCGCUAGCUUCAGGAGCUAGUGGCCGCAAGGCCUUCGGGGUUCAACUCCCCGCCUCGGCACAA
rnacentral:tRNA from 1 species